rnacentral:RNase_P_RNA from 1 species
CGAGCGGACCAGGUGGCCGCGGGCAUUCGAUGCCCGAGGAAAGUCCGGGCUCCAUAGGGCAGGGUGCUGGGUAACGCCCAGCGGGGGCAACCCCAGGGAAAGUGCCACAGAGACAUACCGCCUGCAUUUGCAGGUAAGGGUGAAAAGGCGGUGUAAGAGACCACCGGCGGCCAGGCGACUGGCCGGCCAGGUAAACCCCACCCGGAGCAAGACCAAGUAGGAGGGGGAUGACGUUGCCCGCCGAUCCCUCGGGUUAGGUCGCUAGAGGCGUCAGGCGACUGGCGCCCCAGAUAGAUGGCCACCCGCGACAGAACCCGGCUUACAGGUCCGCUCACGCU